CAUCUGCCAAAUGCCAUAAAUGUAAAUGUUCAACUGUAGUUCUGUGAACCAUGCCAGAGGCUGGUGUUUUAACACCUGGAUACUGCAUGAGUGGACAUGUUGAGAACUUCACCACAAAGCCUUGUGGUGAUUGUAUGACGUGGUGUUUUCUUUAAAAUACACUUUGUAGCCAAGCGUAUGUGGACACCUGACCAUCACACCCGUAUAUGGGCCUUUCCCAAACUGUUGCCACAAAGUUGGAGGCAGAAUGUCUAGGAUGUCUUUGUAUGCUAAAGAAUUAAGAUUUCCCUUCACUGGCACUAAGGGGCUUAACCCAGACCUAUUCUAGCAUGACAGUAUCCCUGUGUGUAAAGUGAGGACUAUAAAGACAUCAUCUGGAACCUUCUUGCAGAGUUCCUACCUCUUCUGUGUUGGUUCCAACUGAUGGGGAACCUUGGCAGUUAUCUGGUGUUCAUAGAGCCACAGUUAAAUGGGUAAUCUACCAUUCUAUUUCACCCAGUGUUUUGACUCCUGGAUAUACCAGGAAUAUAAACCUAUACGAGUAUGUUACAAGGAACCAACUCACCCUAAGACUGACUGGAAGGACAUACAGAUAUGAUCACUGCGCGCAUCUCACUGGGAGGGGCAAAGUUAACAUUAUAGAACUAGGAAAAGGUGCAUGGUAAUGCCCAGUACAGUACUGCCCAUGAAGAGGAGAUGUGUCUCAUGGAAGUGUUAGGACAGGGGCCUGAUUCCCAGCCAGCCUAUAGUUUGAGGUGAUUACAUCCACCGCUCAGUGGGCCGGUCUUUGCUUAGACAGAGAAGCAUCUGCUGUCUCUCCCCCACGACAGCUGAUCUGAGGAUCAAAUCACUGCAGUCUGGUUUUUACGUAGAACUGCAAGAUGUGCACUGGGCAUAGAAAGAAUCAUUCCGAUGGUUCCCUUUCAUAGAAUGCUGUGGUUGAUUCGCAAAAGUGGAUGAUAUGACCUUAGGAACCUUGAAUUUUGCCAGAGAGUACUGAAGUUCUAGCCAGCAAGAAUGUGGUUUAAGCAGAAAUAGCUGCCACAUACUUUUAGCAUUGAUGUAGAUCUCUCCUUGUCUAACACACCAUUCGCAGAAAAAUUUCCAUAUGAGCACAUACAAGGCUUGUGUUUCCUGUACUGCUGGAUAGCAAUAUAUUACCUGCUCUUCUCUCUGAGAGGCUAUACCCCUAGGAGCAGGUACUCCGGCCGAGGGUGCCAAACCAUUCCAUCUGACUGAGACAGUAGACAGAUUGAUACACAAGGCAUCCUAUCCAUCAGUAUGAUUAUCAGAGGAAACCAGGGCCUUGCUGUCCAAUUCAGAGCGACAAGCAACACUCUGUGACUCUAUGAUGGACUCGAUGAGACACUUGAAGAGAAUUUCAGUGUUCAUUUCCUGAUAAUGGCUGUUGUUGGUACUGGCUCUCUGUGGCCGUAUAGAAGUCCUCCAGCACGCUCUGAAGGUACUCAAAGGUCGGUCUGUCUUCUGGCUUGUUUUUCCAGCAUUCUAGCAUAAUGUCAUACAGCUCCUGAGGACAUGAGUCCAAGCGCUGCAUGCGAUAUCCUCUCUCCAGAGAGCGAAUCACCUCUGGGUUUGUCAUGCCUGGACAAUACACACAUACAAAGUGACAGUGAAAAUUAAAUGUUUGCACAAUGUACACACAAUGCACCAUCUUUUGAUGAUCUUAUACUCUGUUAACCCAUUUGAUAUUUUAUAUCAUAUUUUAUAUAUUUUGAUAUGUCAAUGUAGAACAUCCUGUACAAUGCUAACAAUCUUUGUCCUAACCAAUGACUAUAAAAACUGGACAAGUUGCCCCA